rnacentral:lncRNA from 1 species
GUGAGCUUUGAUUAAUAGUUAAUUGCAAUUUCAAAUGCUUUGUUGUUGUUGGAAAUGGGUGAGUAACAUUCAGAAAUUCACCCACAUAAAUCUUGAGUAGGUUUAUUUGUAUAUUAAUUUGGUUCUGAGCAGUGCUGAAUCAUAAUGGUUUAAAUUGUGGAUGCAGACCAAACACGGUUGUUGUAAAGCAUUGCUGUGCAUGUGAUUUUUAGUCUGAGUAAAGCACUGAGGAUGUUGACUAUCAAGGGUUUAACAAAAACAAUGUCAUGCUGAUUGUACAAACUGGAAUGGAUGAGUAAAAAUGUUUUGAUGCAAAUUGUUACAGCAGAAAUUGUCCUUUUAAAAAAAAAAAAGUCCCAGAAGUCUGGUAUUAAAAAAUGACUGUGCCAAAGGAGCUCUUUCCAACAACUGGCAAGUGCGUUCCUGACUAUGUUAAAAGUGGAUUCUCCUGGAAAAUCAACCGCUGCUGAGUAAUGCAGGAGCCUCCAUCCUCGUGUGCAGACCUGACUCACGAAGUGGUUUGGCACCUCCAUAGUCCCAGAGCUGAAGCUGCUGUCCGCUCCUCUUUGGCUGAACUGAGACCUUGAUUCUACCAGAGGACAUGACUUCACUUUCUUCCAGACCACACACUAAACAUGUUAGCUGGGAUCUUUGAG